AAAAAGCCUCCAAUUUAUUUUUCUUUCUCUCUUUUCUUGUAACAAUUUUUCGCAUGCUUGUCCCUUUUCGUAUUAGAUUCACCACCCCAAACUUAGAAUUCAACACAGUUUCAAAAUCCACAACAUUCAUGUCGAGCACGGGUAAAAAAGAUUAUUAUUUUUUUUUUCUUUUUCUGGCCAUAGGGUAACAUAAGUGGUUUAAAAAC
rnacentral:lncRNA from 1 species